AAAUAUCACUUCCAUAAUAUUGUACAAACUAGACUUGUGUUUAUAGAUUUUCUUAUUUGGCGAUUAGGUAAUUCGAAAGCUAGGUCGCUAACGUUAGCCACAGUACAUUAGCUAGCUAGUUGGGAGUUGCUGCUGUCACAUUUGGGUGGGUAUUCAUUAGUCGUAUUCCGUUGCAAAACGUCUUUGCAAACGGAACCGUUUACAACGAAAACGAGAGAUUCUAUGGGACAUUUUCAGUAAAGACUGUCCUCGUCUCGUUCUGUUUGAUUCCUAGAGUAAACCAACGGAAUCCGACUACCCCCCCCCCUAAUUUAAUUUGGGUUACAGUAAUAUUCACGUCUAUUUAGUUGUUGGUAGGUAUCUAGUAACAUUAUACGAACAAUGUAGUGUGGAAGAGGUUUACAAUAGCAAUAUGCCCACCCGUCUAGCCUACAUAAUAAUGAGAAGCUAGCUGCUAGGCCAUCAGUGUACACGUCAAGGCAAGACCGUCAUUGAUUGUUGUCAUCAAGCCACAGCCAACAACUUUUACCAUCCAAGCCACAGAAUGAGUCAUUGGUUCCACCGAAACCCAUUGAAAGCAACUGCACCUGUUUCCUUCAACUUCUAUGGAGUUGCUGGUAGCCCAUCAGCAAAUAAGAUAUGCAAGAUUCAUUGCAUCUCUGGAUGGCACCAAACAAGAGAACAAGCUUCGGUUCAUGCAGAACUUCAAGUGGACUGACACUUUGCAAGGAAACACCCCAAGCGGCAGGAACUGGGAGACUAGUCAGGAUCGAGGGAAAGAUGAACAAGAGAUCCUU